UACGUAGGGGGCAAGCGUUGUCCGGAAUCAUUGGGCGUAAAGAGCGCGUAGGCGGCCCUGUAAGUCCGCUGUGAAAGUCAAGGGCUCAACCCUUGAAUGCCGGUGGAUACUGCAGGGCUAGAGUACGGAAGAGGCGAGUGGAAUUCCUGGUGUAGCGGUGGAAUGCGCAGAUAUCAGGAGGAACACCAAUAGCGAAGGCAGCUCGCUGGGACGUUACUGACACUGAGGCGCGAAAGCGUGGGGAGCGAACAGG
rnacentral:rRNA from 1 species